UAAGGAAUAUUGGUCAAUGCCCGCAAGGGUGAACCAGCCAUUCCGCGUGGAGGAUGAAGGCCCUAUGGGUUGUAAACUUCUUUUAGAUGGGAAGAAAAUGCUAGAAUUUUCUGGUACUGACGGUACCAUCAGAAUAAGCACCGGCUAACUCCGUGCCAGCAGCCGCGGUAAUACGGAGGGUGCGAGCGUUAUCCGGAAUUACUGGGUUUAAAGGGUGCGUAGGCGGAUGAUUAAGUCUAAGGUGAAAGUUUGUCGCUUAACGAUAAAAUUGCCUUGGAUACUGGUUAUCUUGAAUAAGGAUGAGGAUGGCGGAAUGUGGCAUGUAGCGGUGAAAUGCAUAGAUAUGCCAUAGAACACCAAUUGCGAAGGCAGCUAUCUGGUCUUUUAUUGACGCUGAGGCACGAAAGCGUGGGGAUCGAACAGG
rnacentral:rRNA from 1 species